AGGGGAGUAGCUCAAUUGGUAGAGCGUCGGUCUCCAAAACCGGUGGCUGCGGGUUCAAGUCCUGUCUCCCCUG
rnacentral:tRNA from 1 species